AGAGUUUGAUCCUGGCUCAGAUUGAACGCUGGCGGCAGGCCUAACACAUGCAAGUCGAGCGGCAGCGGGGGGUGCUUGCACCCUGCCGGCGAGCGGCGGACGGGUGAGUAAUGCAUAGGAAUCUGCCCGGUAGUGGGGGAUAACCUGGGGAAACCCAGGCUAAUACCGCAUACGUCCUACGGGAGAAAGCAGGGGACCUUCGGGCCUUGCGCUAUCGGAUGAGCCUAUGUCGGAUUAGCUGGUUGGUGAGGUAACGGCUCACCAAGGCGACGAUCCGUAGCUGGUCUGAGAGGAUGAUCAGCCACACUGGGACUGAGACACGGCCCAGACUCCUACGGGAGGCAGCAGUGGGGAAUAUUGGACAAUGGGCGCAAGCCUGAUCCAGCCAUGCCGCGUGUGUGAAGAAGGCUUUCGGGUUGUAAAGCACUUUCAGUGGGGAAGAAGGCUUACCGAUCAAUACCCGGUAAGAAGGACAUCACCCACAGAAGAAGCACCGGCUAACUCCGUGCCAGCAGCCGCGGUAAUACGGAGGGUGCGAGCGUUAAUCGGAAUUACUGGGCGUAAAGCGCGCGUAGGUGGCUUGAUAAGCCGGUUGUGAAAGCCCCGGGCUCAACCUGGGAACGGCAUCCGGAACUGUCAGGCUAGAGUGCAGGAGAGGAAGGUAGAAUUCCCGGUGUAGCGGUGAAAUGCGUAGAGAUCGGGAGGAAUACCAGUGGCGAAGGCGGCCUUCUGGACUGACACUGACACUGAGGUGCGAAAGCGUGGGUAGCAAACAGGAUUAGAUACCCUGGUAGUCCACGCCGUAAACGAUGUCGACUAGCCGUUGGGUUCCUCGAGGACUUAGUGGCGCAGUUAACGCGAUAAGUCGACCGCCUGGGGAGUACGGCCGCAAGGUUAAAC
rnacentral:rRNA from 1 species